rnacentral:rRNA from 1 species
AUUGAACGCUGGCGGCAGGCUUAACACAUGCAAGUCGAACGAGUGGCGGACGGGUGAGUAAUGCUUGGGACUCUAGCUUAUGGUGGGGGAUAACUACGGGAACCUGUAGCUAAUACCGCGUACCAUAGGAUGAGCCCAAGGGGGCUUAGGUAGUUGGUGAGGAAAAGGCUCACAAAGCCGACGAUCUCUAGCUGGUCUGAGAGGAUGACCAGCAACCCGGGGACUGAGAAACGGCCCAGACUCCUACGGGAGGCGGGAGGGGGGAAGAUUGCGCAAUGGGGGCAACCUGACGCAGCCAGGCCGCGUGAAUGAAGAAGGCCGUCGGGUUGGAAGUUCUUUCGGUAGCUAGGCGUUAACUACAGAAGAAGCACCGGCUAACUCCGUGCCAGCCGCCGCGGUAAUUC